rnacentral:tRNA from 1 species
GUGUAAAAAGCGAGAUAUUUUGCAUUUGACUUCGGAUCAAACUUUGGGGGUGAAAGUCCUCCUUUACACU